CGUGGUGGCUGGGCCGGGGAAAUGGCGGCUUCAGGAGAGAGCAGGACUUCAGGUGGUGGAGGCAGCACCAAGGAAGCAUUUAUGACCUUCUACAGUGAGGUGAAACAAAUAGAGAAGAGAGACUCGGUUCUAACAUCGAAAAAUCAGAUUGAAAGACUGACCCAUCCUGGUUCCUCUUACUUCAAUUUGAACGCAUUUGAGGUUCUUCGGAUAGAUCCUGAAGUUACAGAUGAGGAAAUAAAAAAGCGGUUUCAGCAGUUAUCCAUCUUGGUGCAUCCUGACAAAAAUCAAGAUCAUGCUGACAGAGCUCAAAAGGCUUUUGAAGCUGUGGACAAAGCUUACAAGUUGCUACUGGAUCAGGAGCAAAAGAAGAGGGCCCUGGAUGUAAUUCAGGCGGGAAAAAAAAUACGUGGAACACACUGUGAAAGAGUGAAAAAAAAAAAAUUAAAGAAGGAAGGAAAACCUACAAUUGUAGAGGAGGAUGAUCCUGAGCUGUUCAAACAAGCUGUAUAUAAACAGACAAUGAAACUCUUUGCUGAGCUGGACAUUAAAAGGAAAGAGUGAGAAGUCAAAGAGAUGCAUGAAAGGAAACGACAAAGGGAAAAAGAGAUUGAAGCUCAAGAAAAAGCCUAACAGGAGAGAGAGUGGCAGAAAAACUUUGAGGAAAGUCAAGAUGGUAGUGUGGACAGCUGGCGAAACUUGCAAGCCAAUACAAAGGGGAAGAAAGAGAAGAAAAAUCGGACCUUCUUGAGACCACAAAAAGUAAAAAUAGAGCAGCGUGAGUGA